rnacentral:tRNA from 1 species
UCCCUGAUGGCCUAUUGGUUAAGACUCAGCACUUUCACUGCUGCAGCUCAAGUUCAAUUCCUAGUCUGGGAA